CAAUGAAUCCAUUCGAUUCCAUUCUAUGAUGAUUCCAUUCAUUUCCAUCUGAUGAUGAUUCCAUUCGACUCCAUUCAAUGAUUCCAUUCGAUUCCAUUUGAUGAUGAUUUCAAUCAAUUUCAUUCGAUGAUUCCAUUCGAAUCCAUUCGAUGAUGAGUCCAUCCAAUUCAAUUUCAUGAUAAUUCCAUUCGCUUCAAUUCGAUGGUGUUUCCAUUCGAAUCCAUUCGAUGUUGAUUCCAUUAGUUUCCAUUGGAUGAUGAUUCCAUUCGAGUCCAUUCGAUGAUGAUCACAUUGGAUUUCAUUCCAUAAUUCUAUUCGAUUCCAUUUGAUGAUGAUUCCAUCUGAUCCCAUUUGAUGAUUCCAUUCGAUUCCAUUCGAUGACGAUUCCAUUCGUUUCCAUCCGAUGAUGAUUCCAUUCAAUUCCGUUCAAUGAUUAUUCCAUUCGAGUCCAUUCGAUGAUUCCAUUUGAUUCCAUUCGAUGAUGAUUGCAUUCGAAUCCAUGGAUUAUUCCAUUCCAUUCCAUUAGAUGAUUCCAUUCGAGUCCAUUCGAUGAUUCUCUUCGAUUCCAUUCGAUAAUUCCGUUUGAUUCCGUUAGAUGUUGAUUCCAUUCGAGUCAAUUCGAUGAUAAUUCCAUUCAAUUCUAUGCGAUGAUUCCAUUCCAUUCCAUUUGAAGAUGAUUCCAUUCGAGACCAUUCGAUGAUUGCAUUCAAUUCAUUCGAUGACGAUUCCAUUCAAUUCCGUUCAAUGUUUCCAUUAGAUUCCAUCUGAUGAUGAUUCCAUUCGAUUCCAUUUGAUGAUGAUUCCAUGCGAUUCCAUUAGAUGAUGACUCCUUUCAUUUCCAUUCGAUGAUGAUUCCAUUCGUUUCCAUCUGAUGAUGAUUCCAUUCGAUUCCGUUCAAUGAUUAUUGCAUUCGAGUCCAUUGAAUGAUUCCAUUCGAUACCAUUCGAUGAUGAUUGCAUUCGAGUCCAUGGAUU
rnacentral:lncRNA from 1 species